rnacentral:lncRNA from 1 species
GGGGGGUGGGGGUGGGGGGUAUCGGGGAAACUGGGGAAGAUGGGAGAGCUGGAGGAGAGUCGUGGGGUCCGAGGAGCACCUCGGCAUCUGGAGUCUGGCAGGAAUGUUGAAGGACUGAGGGGCUAGCUCAGGCAGAGCAAAGGCAUCGCAAAGGCUGGAAAACAUCGGAGUGAAGCUGAAGGGCCUGAGCUAGGGUUGGAGAGGAAUGGGGAGCCAGACAUUCAUCCCGGUUACUUUUGGUUACAGGACGUGGCGGCUGGUCGGAUAAAGGGGAGCUGCUGGGAAGGGUUCGACCCCAGACCUGGGCAGUGAAGGUAUAGCUGGCAGCAGUGGGCAGGUGAGGACCGCCGUCUGCUGGGCAGGUGAGUCUCCUUCUUCUCUCUUGGCCUCGCUCCACUGACCUUCUAAACGAAGGUUUAGAGAGGGGGCCUGGUGAGAAGAAGCGGCUGGCCUCGCAGCAGAAUGGCACAUAGAAAGGCAGGAUAGUUAGCAAAGGAGACAUCGUCUCGGGGGGAGCCGAGACAGAAGGAGGCUGGGGGACCAUUGGCGACCCCAGGUGGAAAGAGCUCUUAGAGAGAAGAAAGAAGAGGGCAACUGGGUGUGGCCGUGUGCUUGAGGCCUCGCCUUCCCCUCGCCUAGUCUGGAAGCAGUUCCAUCAUAAAGUGUUCAACAUGCCCUACUUCAUCCUUUGCCCCUCCUCACCAGGGCCUCACCAGAGGUCCUGGGUCCAUCAAUAAAUACAGUUACAGUCA